GGGUAUAUAGCUCAACUGAUAGAGUGCCUGCUUAGCAUGCAUGAGGUUCUGUGUUCAAUCCCCAGUACCUCCA
rnacentral:tRNA from 1 species